GGCGAGAAGACUGAUCAGUAUGUGUUCUACUGCAUGAAAUAUGUAGACUAUUUGCUACAAAACCAACUGAAGCCGAUUCUUGUCUUUGAUGGAUGUCACUUGCCUUCUAAGAAGGAUGUGGAAAGUUCUCGACGUCAGCGAAGAGAGAAGAAUCGAGCACAAGCAGC